UUUACAUACAUAUAUCUCGAAAAUGUAGAAUAAAACUACAAAUGCAGUUUAAUGCUAUGUAAUAUGUUUGAUGUUGCCCCCCGUUGCGAACGCCCAUGCAUGAUCGGAGGUCUCGUCCCCCGGAAAUACAGAGAAAGAAAACGAAGGCGGAACAGCGCGCUGCUCCAGCUGGCCGUGUCGAAUCCUCUUGGCGGCGAGAGCCACGAUGGGGCUGUUUCAACCCCCUCGCUUUUAUCGCGGCGCAGUCCAUCAUCAUCCUCGACGACUUGUCAACCUCAUUAUGCUCACCGCGUCCCUGGUGAUCGUUAUUAGCCGGCGCAAGUGCCGGCCCCGCGAUGCAAACCGGAGGCGACGUAACGCAAUUCACCCCGUGUACGCAUGACGUGAUGGGGGCUGUUUGCCCAGGAGAAGAAGGGCUACUGCCGCCGUGCCGUCACCGUCACGGCGGUGGCGGUCCGAAGCGUGACGCAGCGUGACUCGUUUACUCACCACGGCUGCACAAUGUACUCGUCAGUGGCGUAACCGGCUUGCAUUGCGUUACGUUGUAUGUUUUUUGCAGGGCCAUACGAGAACAUCAACGCAGGCUUUGGUGCUCCCACGAUACUGAUUGAUUACGCGACGACCGCCCGGCAGCCUCUCUCACAUCGUCGACGCGGCGUGGCGGCCGCUCGUUUUGUGCGUCGGUGAAAGGGAAGCCGAUGCCUUUUGAUACGGACGAUGUUGGCCACUUGUACGAACUCAUCGCUGCCUUUGAUUCCGUUCCUCACAGCAAUGCCAUGCGCAGACAUGCAAGAUGGAAGAAUUUCGUACUAGAGAUGGCAAAAUUCCGAGAUUAGUACAGCUAUUAUCAACAUCUAAAUACAUUUUUUUAAUAGUA